AGCACCACAGGCAGGGCUGGCCCCUUUGGCCCUGACCUCGGCGCUUUCCUUGCCUGUGCCGAAGUCCCCUCACCUGUCCACGGUGCAGCUCCAUAGCCCUGGGAGCCCACCCAGCCUGGAGGCCUCGUGGAGUGAAGCCCCCGGGGAGCAGGACGGCUACCGACUCCUCCUCUGCCACCCGGGAAAUCCCAGACCCUGGCACGCAAUGCCUCCGUGCCUCCGGACACCCUGUCCUACGAUUUUGGCAACCUCUUGCCAGGUACUGAGUAUGCUUUGGAAGUCAUCACCUAGGCUGGCAGCCUCCAGACCAAGACCAGUCUCCACCAGUGGACAGCCCCUGUCUCCGCAUCACCUGGGGCUGCACACCCUGGGCACCAGUGCCCUGCACGCACCCCGGCAUGGCUCCGAGGGGGCCGCCUGGCUCCAGCUCGUGCUCACAGACCUCCUAGGUGGCACCAACCUGACUGCCGUGGUCGGACGGGGGGUCUCCAGCCACACCUUCCUUCACCUGUUCCAGCCCCUGACAUCUCCGAGUCCCGGCCCAUCUCCGUGAUGAACUUCGCGGAGGCGUGUGCAGGAGGGCAGCCAAUGCCAGCGCUGGCUUCUUGAAGGAGUACGAGCUCCGGCUGCAGGCCAUCAAGGACGAGGCUGGCUCCUCAACGCCCCCUCCUGGCUACAAGCAGGACAGCACGGUUUCCUAUGAUCGUUCUCAAGGGCAGUUGUCUCCCGUGGAGGAGAGCCCCCCUGAUGACAUGCCAGCAGCCUGGCUCUUCCCUGGCGGGCUUUCUGGCCAUGAUCACGUGGUGUUGACGGGCCCGCAGGGCCAGAGGGGCUCUGGGAGCUGGCGUGGCAGUAUGGGGCUCACCUGCUGGUCUCCCUGUGCCCACCCAAUGCCCUGGAGAAGCCACAGGAGUUCUGGCCAACGGAGAUACAGCCCUUUGUCACAGACACAGUGACAGUGCACUGGAUGGCUGAGACCCAUACAGCAGGGUGGUCCUGUACUCUCUUCAGGGUCACCACAUGUAGGUGUUAGGGCGGCAGGGCAUGGGGCGGUGGGUUGCGGGGGCUUCCCUCUGCCCUUCCUGGCACCAGUGCUGACCAUGUCUUUGCUCCCGGGGGAGAGCGGGAAGGAGAGGCAGGUGCAGCGAUUGCAGUUUCCAUACUGGGAGCCUGGGCAUGAGCUUCCCACCGCCACCCUGCUGUCCUUCCUGGCUGCGGUGGGCCAGUGCUGCUCCCAGGGCAGGAACAAGAAGCCAGGCACACUGCUCAGCCACUACAGGUGCUGCUGGACAGAGAUCUGGGGGGGACGGGCCCCAGAAGCCCCUCCUUGCCUCUCUGGCAGGGCCUCACAUCUCACUGAGCCCUUCUUGGGUUAUGGGUCAAAAGGUUAUGGGUCUCCCAAUGCCCCUGUCUUCUCUGCACCCUGCCCUGUCCUCAGGGAUAUGGUAGGAAUUUGCUCCCUUCCUGCCUGGGCCCAGGCUGGCUGUCUGACCAAGCACCCAGUGUCCCUUCCAAGUCCCUGGGCCCAGGUUGGGCUUCCCCACAUCCCUGGAUACUCCCCCCCCGCCAGGUAUCCCAUCCAACUCCAGGUCAGUUGCCCCAAGGACGCUGCCCAGCUGGGCACCUCCCUGGCCAUGGAGCAGCUGCUGCAGCAGCUGGGGUCUGAGUGCACUGUGGACAUCUUUAACGUGGCCCUGCAGCAGUCACAGGCCUGUGGCCUCAUGACACCAGCGCUGGAGCAGAGUAUCUUCCUCUACGACUGUCUGGACAGCGCGCUGGGGGGCGGGCUGCCCCGAGUCGGUGCUGGUCGCUGUGCUGUGCUGGAGCAGAAGGGGCCCCAGCCCUGCCCUGGCCUCCCUGGAAGAGCAGCCUCCACAGGCCCCUGUGCUGUGAAAGGGCAGAGUCGGGGAAUAAA